GGCUGGUCCGAUGGCAGUGGGUUAUCAGAACUUAUUAACAUUAGUGUCACUAAAGUUGGUAUACCACCCCCCCACUGCUAAAUUUGACUGGCUUUAA
ensembl:misc_RNA Y_RNA Y RNA